rnacentral:rRNA from 1 species
UAGCGUUGUUCGGAAUUACUGGGCGUAAAGCGUACGUAGGCGGAUUGGAAAGUUGGGGGUGAAAUCCCAGGGCUCAACCCUGGAACUGCCUCCAAAACUAUCAGUCUAGAGUUCGAGAGAGGUGAGUGGAAUUCCAAGUGUAGAGGUGAAAUUCGUAGAUAUUUGGAGGAACACCAGUGGCGAAGGCGGCUCACUGGCUCGAUACUGACGCUGAGGUACGAAAGUGUGGGGAGCAAACAGGAUUAGAUACCCUGGUAGUCCACACCGUAAACGAUGAAUGCCAGUCGUCGGGCAGUAUACUGUUCGGUGACACACCUAACGGAUUAAGCAUUCCGCCUGGGGAGUACGGUCGCAAGAUUAAAACUCAAAGGAAUUGACGGGGGCCCGCACAAG